rnacentral:rRNA from 1 species
AGCAGCAGCCGCGGUAAUACGUAGGGUGCGAGCGUUAAUCGGAAUUACUGGGCGUAAAGGGCGCGUAGGCGGAUUGUUUAGUUAGGCGUGAAAUUCCUGGGCUUAACCUGGGGACUGCGCUUAAUACAGGCAGUCUAGAGUGAGGAAGAGGGUUGUGGAAUUCCCAGUGUAGAGGUGAAAUUCGUAGAUAUUGGGAAGAACACCGGUGGCGAAGGCGGCAACCUGGUCCUUGACUGACGCUGAGGCGCGAAAGCGUGGGGAGCAAACAGGAUUAGAUACCCCCGUAGUCCCUGUCUCUUAUAC